GUCCUGUUAGCUCAGAUGGUAGAGCAUCUGACUUUUAAUCAGAGGGUCAUAGGUUCGAAUCCUAUACAGGACACCA
rnacentral:tRNA from 1 species